GAUGAACGCUGGCGGCGUGCCUAAUACAUGCAAGUCGAGCGAACAGACGAGGAGCUUGCUCCUCUGACGUUAGCGGCGGACGGGUGAGUAACACGUGGAUAACCUACCUAUAAGACUGGGAUAACUUCGGGAAACCGGAGCUAAUACCGGAUAAUAUAUUGAACCGCAUGGUUCAAUAGUGAAAGACGGUUUUGCUGUCACUUAUAGAUGGAUCCGCGCCGCAUUAGCUAGUUGGUAAGGUAACGGCUUACCAAGGCAACGAUGCGUAGCCGACCUGAGAGGGUGAUCGGCCACACUGGAACUGAGACACGGUCCAGACUCCUACGGGAGGCAGCAGUAGGGAAUCUUCCGCAAUGGGCGAAAGCUUGACGGAGCAACGCCGCGUGAGUGAUGAAGGUCCUCGGAUCGUAAAACUCUGUUAUUAGGGAAGAACAAAUGUGUAAGUAACUAUGCACGUCUUGACGGUACCUAAUCAGAAAGCCACGGCUAACUACGUG
rnacentral:rRNA from 1 species